CAUUCUUAAAACUGAAAAACAUAUCAAUUUCCUAAAAAAUCUAAAACAAAGAAAAAAUCUGAAAUGCCUACAACUUUCCCCUUUCCUUCAUCUCUGUUUUGCCUUCCGGUAAAUCUCUUCGCAGAAAGAGAACCAGUGCUCCUUUGUAUCACAUACUCGUUUUCGUUCCCCAGGUUCCUUAUUGACUGAGCUCAUCGGAGAUUCAAAUCAAGUCACCUCUUUCUCCGGACUCAGAAAUUCCGAUACAACUACCUCUGUCCCCUCAGCCAAUUCUCAUUUGAUCCCUCUGAGUGACUGGUUCGACCGCUGUCGAGGUUUCUUCCACCUAGAAAGUCGACGAUUCACUUCUUCUUCCCCAUGCUGCCAUCGCAUGUGCCGCUUCAUUUGCUCCCCGAGCUUUUUAACGAUCGUUAGUGAAUCUCCUUCAAUAAUGGCGUCUUCAAACCCCAAGUCUUCUGCGAAAGUAACUCCGUGAAGGCAGGCAUAUGCUUCUGCAGUUGUCGGGUCUCGUACAUUCCUCAUCGGAAUGAUACUGCUAAGCAUGUGCGUUGCUCUGUAUUAUUAAAAUUGAAAGUCUCGAUAAACCAAAGUUUCCACUCUGUGUUUUCAUGUGUGGGUGCGAUCCGAAGUUCCAACAGCUUCGCAACAUUACAGUGUCGGAAGACACGUGCAGUUGAUUCGUCAUCUUCACCGCAAAGUGGAUAUAACGCUUCAAAUCUCAGCCUUUAGAAAUUUUAGAUUACUUAGAGUAGGCAGAAAGUUGUUUGUAAUCCUCUAUAGGUUAAUCUUAAUCUUGCUGGGAACUUUUAAGCCCCAAAUUGCUGUAUAAUAAUUUUUCAUCUGUUCUGUCAAAAUUGUAUUUUCAUUUCCCAGCUAGUGUGCUUCUUCUGUAAUACUCCAUACUUAUCCACUUUUUGCCAUGUAUUCGCCUGAUUUGUUCACCCUGCCAGACCAUAGUAUCUGGCUGCAAUGUAUUCCCGAGGGGUAAUAGUUCUAA